UACGUAGGGGGCAAGCGUUGUCCGGAAUCAUUGGGCGUAAAGAGCGCGUAGGCGGUCCGGUAAGUCCGCUCUGAAAGCCCGGGGCUCAACCCCGGGAGGCGGGCGGAUACUGUCGGGCUAGAGUCCGGAAGAGGCGAGUGGAAUUCCUGGUGUAGCGGUGAAAUGCGCAGAUAUCAGGAGGAACACCAAUGGCGAAGGCAGCUCGCUGGGACGGUACUGACGCUGAGACGCGAAAGCGUGGGGAGCAAACAGG
rnacentral:rRNA from 1 species